GAUUAUGGAGACUACAUCAAGACUCAAUUUCAAGAUCUGAACAUGAAGAAGGGAGUGAAGGAGAUCUAUGCCCACAUGACCUGUGCCACGGACACAAAGAACGUCGAGAUCGUGUUUAACGCUGUGACAGACAUUAUCAUAAAAGAAAACCUUAAGGACUGUGGUCUGUUCUAAACACAAUCUACGUUUUCAAAGAUCUUUCUUCCCCACCAGCAUGAUUGGAUUUACUCUGGUGAAGUUGCUACAGUUACAAAAGAACAUCCACAAGUGGCACAAAGGUGAACUCUACAGCAAGCAGUCAAGUGUGGUCAGCGGAUCCCCGGCCAAAGAACAACCUCAAAAACUUUACCAAACCUCAGAGACUAGAUCCAGAUUAGACUAAUGGACUCUGCCCUGUCAAACCACUAGUACAGACAACGAGAGAAGGAUUACCAAAGAAAGGGGACUUUUGUUGCUUUGAGUUAUUGAUGCUUGUGGAGACGCUUCCUCUCAAUGUGUUUAAUGUUAAACCUAUAGAGGUUUGACUAUUAGAUGUUUUUUUCCAUUCAUUUCCAGAAAAAAGAAAUUAAUGCAAUUAAAUGUUGCUGUAUUAAAGAAAUUGAAGUGGGACCCCAUCAGAUCCCAUGGUAGCAAUUAGAAACAUUCUUAUAUGUACAGCAUCUGGUUUCCUUUUGAGAGAGUUCAAACUUCAGCAAGACGUGAUUGUUUGAACUCUGCCAGCUCACACAAUAUAUGAAAGACAUUUCUUUUUCAGCCCCAAAUACAGUAGGGCAGUAUGUUUUGUAAAUAAGAGUAGGAAAAAAUCUGUUUCAAAAAAAGAUUCAAUAUAAAAUAUAUAUGGAGACAUAAAUCUAUAUAUUUAUGUUACAGUAUUACAGUAACAAGUGAAAAUUCUAGAAUGGCCUGUUGCUUUGUUUAAAACCCGAGGUCUGAAUUUGUGGAGAUGUUCUGGAAUGUAAAUGUAGGCACAUGAAAUAAAGACUUGCAUCAAUUUCA